GACGAACGCUGGCGGCGUGCUUAACACAUGCAAGUCGAACGGAAAGGCCCUGCUUUUGUGGGGUGCUCGAGUGGCGAACGGGUGAGUAACACGUGAGUAUACCGCCCUUGACUUUGGGAUAACUUCAGGAAACUGGGGAUAAUACCGGAUAGGAGCUCCUGCUGCAUGGUGGGGGUUGGAAAGUUUCGGCGGUUGGGGAUGGACUCGCGGCUUAUCAGCUUGUUGGUGGGGUAGUGGCUUACCAAGGCUUUGACGGGUAGCCGGCCUGAGAGGGUGACCGGCCACAUUGGGACUGAGAUACGGCCCAGACGCCUACGGGAGGCAGCAGUGGGGAAUAUUGCACAAUGGGCGGAAGCCUGAUGCAGCAACGCCGCGUGCGGGAUGACGGCCUUCGGGUUGUAAACCGCUUUCGCCUGUGACGAAGCGUGAGUGACGGUAAUGGGUAAAGAAGCACCGGCUAACUACGUG
rnacentral:rRNA from 1 species